rnacentral:rRNA from 1 species
CAGCCGCCGCGGUAAUACGUAGGUGGCAAGCGUUGUCCGGAAUUAUUGGGCGUAAAGGGCUCGCAGGCGGUUUCUUAAGUCUGAUGCGAAAGCCCCCGGCUCAACCGGGGAGGGUCAUUGGAAACUGGGAAACUUGAGUGCAGAAGAGGAGAGUGGAAUUCCACGUGUAGCGGUGAAAUGCGUAGAGAUGUGGAGGAACACCAGUGGCGAAGGCGACUCUCUGGUCUGUAACUGACGCUGAGGAGCGAAAGCGUGGGGAGCGAACAGGAUUAGAUACCCCAGUAGUCCCUGUCUCUUAUAC